CAGAGACUGCAAGCGUUAUUCGGAUUCACUGGGCGUAAAGGGUGCGCAGGCGGCCAAGUGUGUUAGGCGUGAAAGCCCGGGGCUUAACCCCGGAAUUGCACCUAAAACUACAUGGCUAGAGCAUUGGAGAGGGUAGCGGAAUUCACGGUGUAGCAGUGAAAUGCGUAGAUAUCGUGAGGAACACCAGAGGCGAAGGCGGCUACCUGGACAAUUGCUGACGCUCAGGCACGAAAGCGUGGGGAGCAAAAGGGAUUAGAUACCCCUGUAGUCCACGCCCUAAACGGUGCACACUAGGUCUUGGCGGAUUCGACCCCACCAGGGCCCCAGCUAACGCGUUAAGUGUGCCGCCUGAGGACUACGGUCGCAAGACUA
rnacentral:rRNA from 1 species